UACGUAGGGGGGCGAGCGUUGUCCGGAUUUAUUGGGCGUAAAGAGCGUGUAGGCGGCCAGGUAGGUCUGCUGUGAAAACUCGAGGCUCAACCUCGAGACGUCGGCGGAAACCAUCCUGGCUAGAGUCCGGGAAGAGGAGAGUGGAAUUCCCUGGUGUAGCGGUGAAAUGCGCAGAUAUCAGGAAGAACACCCCGUGGCGAAGGCGGCUCUCUGG
rnacentral:rRNA from 1 species